rnacentral:pre_miRNA from 1 species
UCUUAUGGAUGAGCAAAGAGUAGUUUCUUGAGACAGAAUCUACUUCUGGUGAAAAUUCUGUGGG